rnacentral:rRNA from 1 species
AUUGAACGCUGGCGGCAGGCCUAACACAUGCAAGUCGAGCGGAUGAUGGGAGCUUGCUCCUGGAUUCAGCGGCGGACGGGUGAGUAAUGCCUAGGAAUCUGCCUGGUAGUGGGGGAUAACGUCCGGAAACGGGCGCUAAUACCGCAUACGUCCUGAGGCAGAAAGUGGGGGAUCUUCGGACCUCACGCUAUCAGAUGAGCCUAGGUCGGAUUAGCUAGUUGGUGGGGUAAAGGCCUACCAAGGCGACGAUCCGUAACUGGUCUGAGAGGAUGAUCAGUCACACUGGAACUGAGACACGGUCCAGACUCCUACGGGAGGCAGCGGUGGGGAAUAUUGGACAAUGGGCGAAAGCCUGAUCCAGCCAUGCCGCGUGUGUGAAGAAGGUCUUCGGAUUGUAAAGCACUUUAAGUUGGGAGGAAGGGCAGUAAGUUAAUACCUUGCUGUUUUGACGUUACCAACAGAAUAAGCACCGGCUAACUUCGUG